rnacentral:rRNA from 1 species
AACACGCUGGCGGCAUGCCUAACACAUGCAAGUCGAACGAGACCUUCGGGUCUAGUGGCGCACGGGUGCGUAACGCGUGGGAAUCUGCCCUUCGGUUCGGAACAACAGUUAGAAAUGACUGCUAAUACCGGAUAAUGACGUAAGUCCAAAGAUUUAUCGCCGAAGGAUGAGCCCGCGUAAGAUUAGGUAGUUGGUGGGGUAAUGGCCUACCAAGCCGACGAUCUUUAGCUGGUCUGAGAGGAUGAUCAGCCACACUGGGACUGAGACACGGCCCAGACUCCUACGGGAGGCAGCAGUGGGGAAUAUUGGACAAUGGGCGAAAGCCUGAUCCAGCAAUGCCGCGUGAGUGAUGAAGGCCUUAGGGUUGUAAAGCUCUUUUACCAGGGAUGAUAAUGACAGUACCUGGAGAAUAAGCUCCGGCUAACUCCGUG